AAUGAAUGUUGGCGGCGUGGAUUAGGCAUGCAAGUCGUACGCUUUAUGUAGCAGUACAUGAGGAGUGGCGUGAGGGAGAGUAAUGCAUGGUUAGCUACCCUCGGGACUGGGAUAGCGGCGGGAAACUGCCGGUAAUACCAGAUGACAUCUUCGGAUCAAACGUGUAAAUCGGCCCGAGGAGGUGACCAUGUCCUAUCAGCUAGUUGGCGGUGUAACGGACCACCAAGGCUAAGACGGGUAUGGGGCGUGAGAGCGUGCCCCCACUCACUGGGACUGAGACACUGCCCAGACACCUACGGGUGGCUGCAGUCGAGAAUCUUCGGCAAUGGGCGCAAGCCUGACCGAGCGACGCCGCGUGCGGGAUGAAGGCCUUCGGGUUGUAAACCGCUGUCGUAGGGGAGGAAGGCUCCGUGCAGAACGGAGUUUGACCGAUCCUAGGAGGAAGGGCCGGCUAAUCUCGUGCCAGCCGCCGCAGUAA
rnacentral:rRNA from 1 species